UACGAAGGGGGCUAGCGUUGCUCGGAAUCACUGGGCGUAAAGGGUGCGUAGGCGGGUCUUUAAGUCAGGGGUGAAAUCCUGGAGCUCAACUCCAGAACUGCCUUUGAUACUGACUGUCUUGAGGGGGGUAGGGGCAUGUGGAACUUCCGGUGGAGCGGUGAAAUGCGUAGAUAUCGAAAGGAACGCCGGUGGCGAAAGCGACGUGCUGGACCCUUUCUGACGCUGAGGCGCGAAAGCCAGGGGAGCAAACGGG
rnacentral:rRNA from 1 species